GACGAACGCUGGCGGCGUGCUUAACACAUGCAAGUCGAACGGAAAGGCCCUGCUUUUGUGGGGUGCUCGAGUGGCGAACGGGUGAGUAACACGUGAGUAACCUGCCCUUGACUUUGGGAUAACUUCAGGAAACUGGGGCUAAUACCGGAUAGGAGCUCCUGCUGCAUGGUGGGGGUUGGAAAGUUUCGGCGGUUGGGGAUGGACUCGCGGCUUAUCAGCUUGUUGGUCGGGUAGUGGCUUACCAAGGCUUUGACGGGUAGCCGGCCUGGGAGGGUGACCGGCCACAUGGGGACUGAGAUACGGACCAGACUGCUACGGUAGGCAGUGGUGGGGAAUAUUGCGGAAUGGGCGGGAGCCUGAGGCAGCGGCGCCGCGUGCGGAAUGCCGGCCUUCGGGUUGUAAACCGCUUUCGCCUGUGACGAAGCGUGAGUGACGGUAAUGGGUAAAGAAGCACCGGCUAACUACGUG
rnacentral:rRNA from 1 species